CCUACGGGAGGCUGCAGUGGGGAAUAUUGCACAAUGGGGGAAACCCUGAUGCAGCGACGCCGCGAGAGUGAAGAAGUAUUUCGGUAUGUAAAGCUCUAUCAGCAGGGAAGAAAAUGACGGUACCUGAGUAAGAAGCCCCGGCUAACUACGUGCCAGCAGCCGCGGUAAUACGUAGGGGGCAAGCGUUAUCCGGAUUUACUGGGUGUAAAGGGAGCGUAGACGGCAGCACAAGUCUGGAGUGAAAUGCCUGGGCUUAACCCCGGCACUGCUUUGGAAACUGUGCAGCUAGAGUGCAGGAGUGGUAAGUGGAAUUCCUAGUGUAGCGGUGAAAUGCGUAGAUAUUAGGAGGAACACCAGUGGCGAAGGCGGCUUACUGGACUGUAACUGACGUUGAGGCUCGAAAGCGUGGGGAGCAAACAGGAUUAGAUACCCCUGUAGUC
rnacentral:rRNA from 1 species